AUUGUACGCUGGCGGCAUGCCUUACACAUGCAAGUCGAACGGCAGCACGGGUGCUUGCACCUGGUGGCGAGUGGCGAACGGGUGAGUAAUACAUCGGAACGUACCUUAUCGUGGGGGAUAACGCAGCGAAAGUUGCGCUAAUACCGCAUACGCCCUGAGGGGGAAAGCGGGGGACCGUAAGGGCUCGCGCGAUGAGAGCGGCCGAUGUCUGAUUAGCUUGUUGGUGAGGUAAAAGCUCACCAAGGCGAUGAUCAGUAGCUGGUCUGAGAGGACGAUCAGCCACACUGGGACUGAGACACGGCCCAGACUCCUACGGGAGGCAGCAGUGGGGAAUUUUGGACAAUGGGGGCAACCCUGAUCCAGCAAUGCCGCGUGAGUGAAGAAGGCCUUCGGGUUGUAAAGCUCUUUUGUCAGGGAAGAAACAGCAGCUCUAACACAGUCUGCGAAUGACGGUACCUGAAGAAUAAGCACCGGCUAACUACGUGCCAGCAGCCGCGGUAA
rnacentral:rRNA from 1 species